ACGUAGACCUCGAGCGUUAUCCGGAUUUAUUGGGCGUAAAGCGCGUGUAGGCGGCUUCGCGCGUCUUCUGUUAAAGCCCAGGGCCUAACCCUGGAAGUGCAGGAGAUACGGCGGAGCUGGAGGAGGUUAGAGGUGCAUGGAACGCACGGUGUAGGGGUGAAAUCCGUUGAUAUCGUGCGGAACACCAAAGGCGAAGGCAGUGCACUGGGACCUUCCUGACGCUGAGACGCGAAAGCGUGGGGAGCAAAAA
rnacentral:rRNA from 1 species